rnacentral:rRNA from 1 species
AAUAGAUACCCAGGUAGUCCACGCCGUAAACGAUGAGUGCUAAGUGUUAGAGGGUUUCCGCCCUUUAGUGCUGCAGCUAACGCAUUAAGCACUCCGCCUGGGGAGUACGGCCGCAAGGCUGAAACUCAAAGGAAUUGACGGGGGCCCGCACAAGCGGUGGAGCAUGUGGUUUAAUUCGAAGCAACGCGAAGAACCUUACCAGGUCUUGACAUCCUCUGACACUCCUAGAGAUAGGAUUUUCCCCUUCGGGGGACAGAGUGACAGGUGGUGCAUGGUUGUCGUCAGCUCGUGUCGUGAGAUGUUGGGUUAAGUCCCGCAACGAGCGCAACCCUUGAUCUUAGUUGCCAGCAUUUAGUUGGGCACUCUAAGGUGACUGCCGGUGACAAACCGGAGGAAGGUGGGGAUGACGUCAAAUCAUCAUGCCCCUUAUGACCUGGGCUACACACGUGCUACAAUGGAUGGUACAAAGGGCUGCAAGACCGCGAGGUUUAGCCAAUCCCAUAAAACCAUUCUCAGUUCGGAUUGCAGG